GGUCUAGUUUUUUUGCGCCUAAAAUGUAUCGAGACUUAAGAAAUUUACCGAAGCGGCAAGUUUUAUUUAUAAUAAAACGGUAGCGGAACAUUCUGUAUGUUGAUAAAGAUAUGUUGUAAAAUAUAUUGAAGAUAUCAGAAAAGAAAAUGCUGGCAUUAGUAACAAAAAAUAAUGAAUAAGAAUCAUUAUCACCGUAAAUCCAAGGGUUUCUAUGUUAAAAUGUAUUUCAUAGAGUGAAACGGCCCCUAAGAAAGAUUUGACGAAAGCAAAUUUUGAUGGGAUAAUUUUUAAAUUAAAUUUUUUAAAAAAAGUGACAAAAAGUUUUACUUUUUCAGGAAAUAGCUUUUUUUAAAAAAAACCGUACCCUAAACCGACACAGGUGGAUAGGUCGAGUAGACUAAGGUGGAUGAGAGAAUUAUAUUGAAGGAACUCGGCAAAAUGACUCUGUAACUUCGGGAUAAAGAGUACCUAAAUAUUAUAUUUAGGUGUCACAAAAUAGGGGGUUGCGACUGUUUAAUAAAAACUUAGGACUCUGCUAAAUGGUAACAUGAUGUAUAGGGUCUGACACCUGCCCGGUGCUGGAAGAUUAAUAGGAGAUGUUUGCGCAUUGAAUGGAAGUCCCAGUAAACGGCGGCCGUAACUCUGACGGUCCUAAGGUAGCGAAAUUCCUUGUCGGGUAAGUUCCGACCUGCAUGAAUGGUGUAACGACAUCCCCGCUGUCUCCAAUAUAAACUCAGUGAAUUUGAAUUAUCCGUGAAGAUGCGGAUUCUCUAUAGUUAGACAGAAAGACCCCGUGAACCUUUACUACAUCUUUAUAUUGUUAUUUUAUCUAAUAUGUGUAGCAUAAGUGGGAAUCAAUAAGACCUUCACGCUAGUGAAUUGUUUAGAUAACAUUGAAAUACCACUCUUAUUAAAAUAAAUAACUAAUAUUUUUAUAAAUAGACAGUGUAUGGUUGGUAGUUUGACUGGGGCGGUCACCUCCUAAAGAGUAACGGAGGUGUACAAAGGUAAGCUCAAAUUG
rnacentral:ncRNA from 1 species